UGGGGAAUAUUGCACAAUGGGCGCAAGCCUGAUGCAGCAACGCCGCGUGAACGAUGAAGGUCUUCGGAUCGUAAAGUUCGGUUGCAGGGGAAGAUAAUGACGGUACCCUGUGAGGAAGCCCCGGCUAACUACGUGCCAGCAGCCGCGGUAAUACGUAGGGUGCUAGCGUUAUCCGGAUUUACUGGGCGUAAAGGGUGCGUAGGUGGUCCUUCAAGUCGGUGGUUAAAGGCUACGGCUCAACCGUAGUAAGCCGCCGAAACUGGAGGACUUGAGUGCAGGAGAGGAAAGUGGAAUUCCCAGUGUAGCGGUGAAAUGCGUAGAUAUUGGGAGGAACACCAGUAGCGAAGGCGGAUUUCUGGACUGCAACUGACACUGAGGAACGAAAGCGUGGGUAGCAAACAGG
rnacentral:rRNA from 1 species